UAGGGAAUCUUCCGCAAUGGGCGAAAGCCUGACGGAGCAACGCCGCGUGAGUGAUGAAGGUCUUCGGAUCGUAAAACUCUGUUAUUAGGGAAGAACAAAUGUGUAAGUAACUAUGCACGUCUUGACGGUACCUAAUCAGAAAGCCACGGCUAACUACGUGCCAGCAGCCGCGGUAAUACGUAGGUGGCAAGCGUGAUCCGGAAUUAUUGGGCGUAAAGCGCGCGUAGGCGGGUUUUUAAGUCUGAUGUGAAAGCCCACGGCUCAACCGUGGAGGGUCAUUGGAAACUGGAAAACUUGAGUUCAGAAGAGGAAAGUGGAAUUCCCUGUGUAGCGGUGAAAUGCGCAGAGAUAUGGAGGAACCCCAGUUGCGAAGGCGACUUUCUGGUCUGUAACUGACGCUGAUGUGCGAAAGCGGGGGGAUCAAACAGG
rnacentral:rRNA from 1 species